rnacentral:rRNA from 1 species
UGCGCAGGCGGCCGAGUGUGUGAGGCGUGAAAGCCUGGAGCUCAACUCCAGAAUUGCACCUCAAACUACACGGCUAGAGCAUUGGAGAGGGUAGCAGAAUUCACGGUGUAGCAGUGAAAUGCGUAGAUAUCGUGAGGAAUACCAGAGGCGAAGGCGGCUACCUGGACAAUUGCUGACGCUCAGGCACGAAAGCGUGGGGAGCAAAAGGGAUUAGAUACCCCUGUAGUCCACGCCCUAAACGGUGCACACUAGGUCUUGAGGGAUUCGACCCCCGCAGGGCCCAAGCUAACGCGUUAAGUGUGCCGCCUGAGGACUACGGCCGCAAGGCUAAA